GACGAACGCUGGCGGCGUGCUUAACACAUGCAAGUCGAACGGAAAUGCCCUGCUUUUGUGGGGUUCUCGAUUGGCGAACGGGGGAGUAACACGUGAGUAACCUGCCCUUGACUUUGGGAUAACUUCAGGAAAAUGGGGCUCAUACCGGAUAGGAGCUCCUGCUGCAUGGUGGGCGUUGGAAAGUUUCGGCGGUUGGGGCUGGACUAGCGGCUUAUCAGCUUGUUGGUCGGGUAGUUGCUUACAAAGGCUUCGACGGGUAGCCGGCCUGGGAGGGUGAACUGCCACAUUGGGACUGAGAUACGGACCAGAAUCCUACGGGAGGCAGCAGUGGGGAAUAUUGCGCAAUGGGCGGAAGCGUGAGGCAGCAACGCCGCGUGUGGGAUGACGGCCUACGGGUUGUAAACCGCUUUCGCCUGUGACGAAGCGUGAGUGACGGUAAUGGGUAAAGAAGCACCGGCUAACUACGUG
rnacentral:rRNA from 1 species